GCGAAGGCGGCCAGCAGCUCCUGCGAGAGUUUCUCGUACAUGUGUGUGCGGCGGUGCUUGUUGUCUCUGCAUUCUGUGAUCAUCCACUUCAUGGCCAGAAAACGCCGCCGAUUAUCUGUGAGAGGGACGGGCACCUUCAGAAAGAAAGCAAGUCAUGCAGGUUUGGAACCACAUGAAGGUGAGUAAAUGAUUAUAAUUUUUCACUUUUUGGAUGAAUUAUCCCUGUAAACAUAAA